CUCAGGUGGGUGUUAUUGGUC
rnacentral:siRNA from 1 species